GAAAAGCUCCUCCAGCCACCACCAACCUCCGCGGUUUUAACCAGUGGUCUAACGACGUUUCAUUUGCUUCCCUGUUUUUGUUUCUCUCUCCCCCCCCCCCACACCUCUCUCUCUCUCUCUCUUCCUCUCCUCCCUCUCUCUCUCUCUCUCUCUCUUCCUCUCCUCCCUCUCUCUCUCUCUCUUCCUCUCCUCUCUCUCUCUCUCUCUCUCUCUUUCUCUCCCUCUCUCUCUCUCUCUCCCUCUCUCUCUCUCUCUCUCUCUCUCUCUCUCUCUCUCUCUCUCUCUCUCUCCCUGCUCCUGUUGUGUUACGAGCCCUUGGCUGUUUCCUUUAAGACGCGGCUACCUAAAGCACAACACUUGUCUGACCUGUGUGGAGAUUUGGAACCCAUCAGAUUCUCUUCAAGGCGAGUUCCCCUGAUAUAAACACAGUGCAAAGAAAGGGCUGAUACAUUAAGAACUGCCGGCAACAUUAUUGCUGAUGCGUUUCUCGCAGAUCCAGUAUGACAAGACCUACUACAUUAAACGUCAAGCCGUGAACGUGCUGUCCGCAGCUCUGGGGUUGACUAGGUGGCAGUGACCUCCGUUGCAGAGAAAGCCUGUCGUUCCUUCUCUACACCACUUUGUGAGUGCACCAUGACAUAUCGUGCUUCUGUUUAUGAAACCAAGAUCCUUCAACACUUCAACCAAUAGUUCAUAGAGAACUACCAAUGAGCUGCGGUGCAUUGGUCAUGUUAUUUUGGACUUCCCUUUCAGUUCAGGGAAGGAGCACGAAUGUCCUGAAGUGAGAACCUCGAUGCAUUUGGUAUGUGGUUAGUGUUGCCAACUUUGAUCGGGAAGUUAAUUUCAGAACUGGAGGAUCUGCUGCCUGUAGCCUUGUUAUCUUUCACCCCUCUCUGCCUUGUGAGAUAUUGAUGGAUGGAAGAUCUCAAGAGAAACUGGAUCCACAAAACUGCAGAAAACGAGUAUGGUCAGAACAGCAGUACAGGUGGCCGGACUAAUUGAGCAUGGUUUUGAAGAAUCGGAAAGCAGAGGGAAGAAGAUGUUCCUGAAUUGCUGAGUGUGUGCCUUCAGGCUUCUGUACUUCCUUCUUGAUGGUAACAAUGAGAAGAGGGCAUGUCCUGGAUGGUAGGGUCCUUAGUGAUGGACGCUGCCUUUCUGAGGCACCACUCUUUGAAGAUGUCUUGGAUACUAUGGAGGACCCCAUCUAAGAGUGCCUGCUGGCGUUGGAUGUAAGGAACUUUCUCCAGGAAACACGCACAUGAGCCAUCCAGAUGUGAAAAAUCAGCAGAGUAAGCAGAGGGCCACCCCUGCAACAUCUCUGCCUGCGGAAGUUCAUUCCAAAACAGCAUGCAUGUAAUUACUAGUAGCAGUUUACUAUUAAUGGGUUUCAGUGCAAACUGAUUGUAUCCUCUCAAAUUUGCUGUACUAAAUCUCUAUGCAACAAAAUGAAGUGAUUGAGACUUUUGUGUUCGUGGUCCACUGUUGCUGUAGUAUUUCCACUUCAAGAUUCAACCUAUUAUGCAUUCAGAGAUGCUCUUCCACAUACCACUGUUGGUACGCAUAGUUAUUUAAAUUACAGUUGCUUUCCUUUCAGCUUGAUCCAGUCUGACUGUUCUCCUUUGACUUCUCUCUUUAAUAAGGUGUAUUUGCCCACAGAACCACUGGAUGCUUUUUUGUUUUUCACACCAUUCUCUGUAAACUUCAGGGACUGUUGUGUGUGAAAAUCCCAGGAGGUCCGCAGUUUCUGAGAUACUCAAGCCAACCUGUCUAACACCAGCCAUCAUUCCACUGUCUAAAUCACCUGGAUCACACUUCUUCCCCAUUCUGACGUUAGAUCUGAAGAACUGAACCUCUUGACCACGUCUGCUUGCUUUUAUGCAUUGGGUUGCUGCAGCAUGAUUGUCUGAUUAGAUAAAUGCAUUAAUGAGCAGGUAUAUCUAAUAAAGUGGCCACUGGGUAUAUAUUCUUCUCUAUCAGAAUUCCUCCUAUAUGCCUAAGAUGGUGUGAUUAAUAUGCAUUUUAGAGUGUGCUGCUCCAAUUGAUCAGAAGUACCCACUGCUUUAUUGCACAUCCUAGUUUAAUAAAGUGGAGCAAGGACCAAGGGAUGACUGCAGACUUUGGAAAGUUUAAAUUCAUUUGCUUUUUUGUGGUAAGUUUUUAAAGGCAACAAAUGUUUGAAAUCUGUGUUUGGUGUACUCCACCCAUUUCCAUUUUGAUUUAAUUCACACAAUAUUUCCCUUCUGGCUCUUUGGGAACAUCAUACACCCAAUCAAUUUUAAUAUGAGGUCUAACUAGAUGUCAUCAAGAGAGAGAACUGAAGCAAAGAGAGCCCCAAGGGGAAGGCAAAUGCCAACCCAGAGACUGACAAUGACUCAAACAUGCAAGACAUUCAUUUGAUUCUUUAAAAAUGAAAUUCACAUUUCCCAUAAACAAGCAUUUGCUUGCACGUAUGUUCCAUUUCUAACUUCUGAUAAAUUACAAAAUAAAAUAGUCUUCGUUAAUAAAAUGCACGUGUCCUAGACCAGUGGUAUAUUAAAAUUCAGAACAUAACAGUGCUGCUGCAAGAUUCUGCCUAUUCAGUUACUCAAUGAGUACAAUCUCAAUGCAUUCUCCAAUUGCUUUCAUAAUUUGUUUAGUGUAAUUUAUGGAUGUUGGUAACUUAGUUUCCACUUCUUAUGCAAUAACUUCCCUGAAAUGUUACUCUUUUUUGUCUUUUAUGUUAAUAGUGGAGCUCUCCAGGACUACAAGUUGUAGGAGUCCAGAAAUGGAAUGGUGCCUGUGUGUCUGUACCACUAUGUAUCAAGUAAAUAAAAGCACGCAUUCGGCGGAUAGGGUUAGCUGGUGUAUUCAUGUUGUGGUGAGAGAGCGCGAAAGGUCGAUGCACAUGCGUAGACAAUAGAUCAAUGUGCAUAGGUAAAUUAUCAGUUCAUGUGUAGUGCUAAGGGGAGUCGUUGCUCUAAAGGAAAUAGAUUUACUCAUUAUGUUUCCUCCCUGUUUAGAUUAAUGCAACAUAAAACACAUACGUAAUAAAAUACUAAAAACUGUACAUGUACCAAAACGUUCAAUUUCCCUUUAACAAACAAAAUUCAAAUAAACAUAUUUUCAAAAUAACAGUCCAUGAUUAACUUCACCAGCCUAAAGGUUCAGUCUUUUGUGUGGCACUCUUUCAUUCAGGAUAGCACCUUUGGACCUGUGGAGUGGACUUAGUUUUGGCAGGUGCUUUGCCAAAACCACCUUUCUCUAUUGCAGGUGUCACAUUGCUGUUGGUGACAUGAUCAUCACUGAGAGGUAAGUUCAGUUGAUGUAAUCUGUCCAUCUUGUUGGAUGCAGACAACCCAGGUGUGUUCUUUGGCUGAACAUCCAUAUGUGGUCCAUACAACAUCUCCAUGUCUGAUCUCCAACAUCCACUGUGUACAUCAGCGGUCCAGUUCUUGUGGCCAUCCUACUGGGUGUCCUCUUGUCUUCUCGGUAAUCAUGUGCUGGGAAUUCCUCUCCAACCUUGAACUGGCUGAACUACUUAUCCGGCACUUCCCUCUGUAGAUUUGGCUUCAGGAAGUCUAUGUGAGAUCUCAGAUUCCUGCUCAUGAACAGCAUUGAAGGUGUUUGGCUUGUCAUUACACAAACAGAGUUCCAACACACAAAAAGAAAGUUGUCCACCCUUUUCUGUGGAGAAGUGUCCUGCUUGUCCAUAGCUUUAAUGGAUCUUCAAGGUUUGGAUAAAUCUUUCAGCUAACCCAUUCGUUGCUGGGUGGUGAAGGAGCUGACUGAAAUGUUUGAUGCCAUUUUUCUUCAUGAACAGUUUGAACUCUUUUGACGUGUAUUGUGGUCCACUGUCACUCACAGUUUGUUCAGCUAAGCCAUUUCUGGCAACGAUAGUCCUCUGUGUGGAAGCAGUUUUUUCUGAUGUGGUUAAUUUCCUUGGUAUGGCUGCCAGACACUUUGAAUGAUCAAGCACAACAAUCAGAAACAUAGAGUCCAUUAAUGACCCAGCAAAGUCAAUGUGUAUCCCUUGCUAUGGUGAAGAUGGCCAAUCCCACAGGUGUAACGGUGCCUGUUGGUGUGGAUUUUGAAUUUUUCAGCAUCACAACCAGCUUUUCGUUAAGUCUUCAAUCUGUUUCCAGCCACCACAUGUAGUUCUGUGCAAGACUCUUCAGCUUGACUGGACCCAGGUGACCUUCAUGCAGAUUCUCUAGCACCGGUGUGCGGUUUAGAGGGAACCACAACACGAGAUCCACACAACAACGUUAUUUGACAUACAGACAGUUGGUCUUGUCUCACUGAGAACUCCGGGAACAUAGGAUUUCUAAUGAGAUAACCAUCCAUGUCAUGGACUUUUGACAAUGUUGGGUCUUUUCUUGUUUUCCUUUGUACUUCAGAAUUUGUUACCGGCAACUGAUCCACCAAUAUUCUGUGAAACAGUAUGAAAGUCUUCCCUCUUCAGUUGCUAACAGUGUAAGAUAUAACAAGCUGUCAGCAUUGCUGCGUUGUUUGGUACUCUUGAACUCACAAGUGUAGGCUCUGAGAAAAAGUGCCCAACGUUGCAACCGGGUAGCAGUCAUCACUGGGAUUCCUUUCCUGGGAUUGAAAGUGAACACAGAAGGCUUGUGAUCUGUCACUAGAGGAAACUUUUGUCUGUAGAGUUAGUGGUGAACUUCUUUAUUCCCCAUACUAGACUAAAGGUCUCUCAGUCUUGUGUGUAGUUGCAUUCUGCGCUUGUCAGUGAUCUUGAAGCAAAUGCAAUCAGAUGUUCAGAUCAAUCUUUAAUUGUGUGUGACAAAACAGCUCCAACUGCAUAAGGUGAUGCAAUUCACGCCAGUCUGAUGGGCAGAGAUGGGCCAUAAUGGGUGAGCAGUUCAUCUGAUGUUAUUAGUCUCUUUGUUCCCUUGAAUGCUUUUUUCUGACCAUUCCCACUUCGCUCCUGUCUGUUAUCGUGUGUUCAAUGGAUGCAGCACUGUAGCAAAGCUUGUGAGGAAUUAGUUGUAGUAGUUUUCAAGGCCCAAGUAUGACCUGAGGUGUGACACAUUUUCCAGUUUGGGUGCCAGUAGCAUUGCGUCAAUCUUGUGGCUUAUGUAAGUCCUGCUUGUCGAUGACAUGUCCACAAUAUGUUUCACUUUUGAAACACUCUAAUUUCUCUCUCUUUGCACGCAGACCAUACCUCUGCUUGGCUCCUCAAUCUCCAUUUGCAUGUCAGCUUGUGACAACUCAAUCUUUAAAAACCUCUCCCCGCCUGCCAAAGGUGCAAAAUGUUUUCUAUUUGUGGCAGAGAACAUUGCACAGUUUGAGGCACAGGGUUGAUGCUCACUUUGAAGUCCCCUCAAAUGCGAACAGCUCUGGCCUUCCCUUUUUUGAUCACUGGAACAAUGGGCAUGGCCCAAUAACACCACUCAGCCUUGCAGAAAAUGCCAGACACUUCAAAGCUCUGAAGUUCAGUAUCCACUUUAGGACAUAAUGCGUAAGGCACUGGGUGCACUUUAUAGCAUCUUGCUGAUGUUACUUCAUCGGGUUCAAUUCUGGCCAUCAUGCCAUUAAGUUUAACAAUACCCUUCUCAAACACAUUUUCAUUAGCAUUAAGUAGCUGUGACAGUCUCUGGUUCCAUUUGGGCUGCAGUUGCCUGUUAAUGAUAUAUUGAGAGCUUUGAUUGUGUGCCAGUCAAGUUGAAUUUUUCUCAACCAUUCAUCUCCAAAAAGAGCUAGCCCUCCACUUUUCAAUGCAUAAAGCUCCAACUGCAGUGUUUGUCCUCCGUACAUCACAUUCACUCUCAGUUUGCCUGUAGGAGACAACUUCACUUGUGUAGGUCUUCAGCAUUGCUGUGGUCUUUUCUAAUGGCAGCUUAGGAAACAGUCUGUUGUAGUCAGCCAGUAAAAUUAUAGGCAAAGUUGACCCCGUAGCCAGCUCCAUUUUCAUAUUUCACACCUGACACAUCUAUUGUAAUCCAUAUGAUUUUGUGAUCUGCUUCAGUAAUGCUAUACAGUUCCAGUCAUGACUGUUUACCUUUGUCGGACUCUGUGUUCUCUGAUUUUGUUUCACAUUCAGUCACAUUCAGUCACUUUAUGCAUUUGUUUAGUUUUGUGUUUGAAGCUUUUCGCUCUGUAUUUGUUUUUCUCUAUGGUUGUGCUUUUUGUUUGACUUGCCCACUCUCUCCAUGUGACCUUGUCUGUGACACUUCCUGCAAACUUGUUCUUGACAAAAGUCAUUUUAUUUGCCACAUCAAUAAUAUUUUUGGCUUUUUGCACCAUUCAGGGGCAACUUGUGCAUUUCACAUUCUAAACUCUUUUUCUGUAGUUCUGCAACAUCGUUUGCUGCUGUCUCUAACGAUAUUGCAAUGGUCAAUGCCCAUUCUAAGGUUCGCUCUCUUUUUUACAGUAGCCUCUUUUGAGUGUUUUGACUAUGCAUUCCACGUACAAGCCUGUCCCUUAAUGCAACAGAAAGCCCAUCUCCAAUGUCACAGUAUUGGGAAAGUUUACACAGUUCUGCAAUGUAUUCAGAAAUUCUUUCAUCCUUUGACUGAUUCCUUUUGUUAAAUCUGAAUCUCUCAACCAUUACCAACUGUUAAUCAAUAACAGAAUGGAUUAAAAGGAAGAAAAUUUGUGUUUUUGAAUGGCUGCGUCAAAGUCUUGACUUUAAUCCUAUAGAAAUGUUGUGGAAGAGCCUGAAGCAAGCAGUUCAUGCAAGGAAGCCCACCAACAUCCCAGAGUUGAAGGAAUUUUGUAAGGAAGAAUGGCCUAAAAUUCUUCCAAGCCAGUGGAAUCGAUCAACAGGCUGAUCUCUGCCUCUACCUCUUUUAUGCACUGAAAGAUGCCCGACAUUGGAGAGAAUCCAGAAGUAGUUCAUGAAAGUGAUCUGGAGAAUGAAAGGAUUAAAUGUUUGAGGAGCAUGUUGUGUCUGUGAUUGA